rnacentral:rRNA from 1 species
UACGGAGGGUGCAAGCGUUAUCCGGAUUCACUGGGUUUAAAGGGUGCGUAGGUGGGCUGGUAAGUCAGUGGUGAAAUCUCCAGGCUUAACCUGGGAACUGCAUCCGAUACUGGAUGGCUUGAAUCCGGGAGAGGGAUGCGGAAUUCCAGGUGUAGCGGUGAAAUGCGUAGAUAUCUGGAGGAACACCGGUGGCGAAGGCGGCAUCCUGGACCGGCAUUGACGCUGAGGAGCGAAAGCCAGGGGAGCAAACGGG